ensembl:lncRNA
GUGUUCAAACAUGUUAUGAUGGAAGCAAAAUAAAAAAGAAAGGGUUGCCUAAAACUAGCACACAAUCAAUAUCUAAAAAUAUUGAUUAUUCAAAAUGUGAAAUUUGCGAAGGAACAUUUUUUUAUAUAAACAGUAAAGGUAAGGGUCAGGGUAAUAUAUCUAUGUUACAAAAAUAUCAUACAUACACUACAAAUAUUCUAAAAAUCAAUACUGUAAACUCUUUAUUGAAUGACCUGAGCACCUUUGAAGACUACAAUAAUUUUUUGAUGCAUGAUGUCAACUGGUUUACAUUUUUAUUUUUAUUUAGAAUGGUGACAUAUCCAAAUAUAUACCUCUACAACAUACCUAACGCCAUGUAUUUAUUUACAAAACAAAUGGAAAAAAAAAAGAACACUCUGUAUGCAAACCAUUGGUACCCAUCUUUUUUAAAAAAAUACCGUAUCAAUAAAACCAAAGAAGAAAAAGCAGUCCACUUAGUAAAAUGUAAGCAUAAAAAUAUAAAGUCAAAAAUGUAAGCAUAAAAAUGUAAAAUCAAAAAUGUAAGCAUAAAAAUGUAAAGUCAAAAAUGUAAGCAUAAAAAUGUAAAGAUAAAAAUGUAAAGUCAAAAAUGUAUAUAUAUAUAUAUAUAUUUAUAUAUACAAAUACAUGUUAUUUUUUUUGUUUAGCUGUUCCUAACUUAUGUUCAUAUAUCCUAUAUUUAACCAUGAUCCACUUCAUUUAAAUAACAUUUUUUUUUUUUUUUUUUUUUUUUUUUUUUUUUUUUUUUUUUUUAUUUNNNNNNNNNNNNNNNNNNNNNNNNNNNNNNNNNNNNNNNNNNNNNNNNNNNNNNNNNNNNNNNNNNNNNNNNNNNNNNNNNNNNNNNNNNNNNNNNNNNNUUAAAACCUGAUACAAUAGAGAAAAUGAAAAAAUGCAUAAAAUUUAUGAUUCAUGUAAAUGCAAUGUUACAACUUGAUUUUUUUUAUUUUUUAAAUGAACCACCAUUAAAUAAGCAACACCAAUAUUCUUUAAUGAUGGCAAUCGAGGCAAGGUUUAGAGUCUGGAUGAUGAACCAAGCAACUGCUUUUAAUUUAUCAAGCUUUGAUGAAGAUGACCUUACACAUUUUACAUAUAAUCAUACACACAAAGGUCCUUACAUUUCAUCAAAAUUACAAUGGUGGACAGCACAAAUAAAAACAAUGUUUCAAGACGCUUUUGACAAUAUAUUUAACCAAAAACAUUAUAAAACUUUAUUAAAAAACUAUGACUCUUAUAAUAUUAGUAAUAAAAUUAUGCUAAUGAAAGAUACUUAUGAACUGUUUUUAAAAAAUUAUGAAAAUAUUUACUUCACAGGUGAUAUUAUGUUGUUAUCGAAAUUUUUUGACACUACUCCUAAAAUAAAAAUAAAAAAAGAUAGACAACAUUAUAUAUACAAGAAUACAUUUGGAAAUGCAGUAAACUAUUAUAAAUGUGGUAUUAUUUAUGGUUAUACAAUAAACAAACUUUUAAUAAAAGAAGUGGUUGAUGAAUUAUUUACGAUAUAUAAAUUAAACCAACAUAAAUUUACUGAAAUUAUCUUUAUGCAGACUGUUCGUUUGCUUUUUAAAGAAAUACAAAAAAGUUUUUUUUCUCACCGAAGAAACGAUAAAAUAAGCAUGAAUAACCUUUUCUUUUUUAACAUCCGAAAUGACUACUCCAAAUUAAACCCAGAACAAAGACAAAAUGAAAUAAAUUAUGCGAUGGCAUCCAGAUUUUAUGAAAAAACAAUGUUUUCAAUAUUUCACAUUAUGUUUAUUAUUAAAAUCAGUCGGCAUUUAGAUAAACUAGACCAAUUAUAUGGAAAGGCUACUAUGAUGCAUUACUCAGUACAUGAGAAACCAUAUGUGUAUUUUAAGCAUAUAUAUCAUAAUAGUUUACAAGAUAUUGCUUUAAAUGUAUUUUUCCCUAUGUAUAUUAAAAAACCAGUUACACAGUUAAAAUAUGGAAAAACGUUUGUUUUUGCUUAUAUGUUAAAACUUACUUCCGAAUUAUUUAGUAUAUAUAAUUUAAACAAUUUAAGUUUAUUAUGUCAAUAUCAAGCUGUUAUUACAGCUAACUUCUAUGCAUUUAAAAAAGUUGCAGCAUAUAUUGAUAGACUAUUUGUACCAAUGGUUAUAUUUUUCUUUUUUUUUAAAAUUAAAGUUGAAUUAGAUGAAGCUGGAAAAGAUUUUCUACCAACAUACUUAAGUAGAUUUGAAGGAUCAAAAUCAUUGAUAACUAUUACUAAUAUUCUUAUAUAUGUUGGUGGCAAUAUUUUAUAUCAAAAUGCUUUAUUUUUUCCUAAUCAUUUGUCUUAUGAAUUAAGGAAACAAGCUCCAGAAAUUCCACAUAUGAUACCAUCAGAUAAACCACAAGCACAUUAUAUUGAUGGAAAUAUUAUAUUUGGAGUUGUACAUAGUUUAUCUGUUACUUUUAUUUUAGCAACUUUAAUGAGAUGGUAUUCAUUUAUGGAUAAUAUUUUAUUUAUGUUUAGAGUUACAUUCCGUAUAUUUGAUAGAUAUUAUGAAAUAAUUAAUGAUCUCCUUUGUUUAUUUUUUAGAAGAAUAUUUAAUAAAAUGAGUGCUAACAUUUUCUUAAAAGCACUUGCCAAAAUUUAUUUAGAGUCACAAAAAGCAGGAUAUUUCGAAGAAGUAAAACAGUCCAGAUUGUAUGCUAAAACGUUUACCGAAGACAAAGUCACAUAUAAACAGUUUUCACAAAGAAAUAAUAAUUUGCUGCAAUUUGUGGAUAUUGAAAAUCAAGUACAAAAGGGUUUAUUGUCUUAUAAUGAUAAGCACUCUUACUUUAAUGACUUAGAAGAAAGUGAGGAAUUUUUGAACGACAAAAGCUUAACCUACUACGAAGAUCAAGUAAACAAGUAAAGUUCAUUAAAAAAAAAAAAAAAAAAAAAAAAAAAAAAAAAAAAAAAAAAAAAAAAAAAAAAAAAAAAAAAAAAAAAAAAAAAAAAAAUAUGUUAUAGUUAUAGUUAUGAUUAUAGUUAUAGUUAUGAUUAUAGUUAUAGUUAUGAUUAUAGUUAUAGUUAUGAUUAUAGUUAUAGUUAUGAUUAUAGUUAUAGUUAUGUUAUAGUUAUAGUACACACAAAAGUAUGUUUAUGUAGAAAGUUACUAUUUGUUAUUAUUUUUUUUUUUAACAUUUAUUUGUGUUUGACUUCGCUUUAAAUCUUUUUCUCUUUUAAUUAUGUUCAUUUGGCUCGCUUUUCUCAUUUUUAUGUCAACAUUUUUGAAUGCCGUUUUAUGGAACUUACUUUAUUUUUUUUUAAAAACCCUCCUUCUUAAUAAAUUAUUGCAAUGUAUAUAUAUAUAUAUAUAU